CAGCAGCCGCGGGAAUACGUAGGGUGCAAGCGUUAAUCGGAAUUACUGGGCGUAAAGCGUGCGCAGGCGGUUCUAUAAGACAGAUGUGAAAUCCCCGGGCUCAACCUGGGAACUGCAUUUGUGACUGUAGAGCUCGAGUACGGUAGAGGGGGAUGGAAUUCCGCGUGUAGCAGUGAAAUGCGUAGAUAUGCGGAGGAACACCGAUGGCGAAGGCAAUCCCCUGGACCUGUACUGACGCUCAUGCACGAAAGCGUGGGGAGCAAACAGGAUUAGAUACCCCCGUAGUCCCUGUCUCUUAUAC
rnacentral:rRNA from 1 species